UACGUAGGGUGCGAGCGUUGUCCGGAAUUAUUGGGCGUAAAGGGCUCGUAGGCGGUCUGUCGCGUCGAAAGUGAAAACUCAGGGCUUAACCCUGAGCCUGCUUCCGAUACGGGCAGACUAGAGGUAUGCAGGGGAGAACGGAAUUCCUGGUGUAGCGGUGAAAUGCGCAGAUAUCGGGAGGAACACCGGUGGCGAAGGCGGUUCUCUGGGCCUGUACUGACGCUGAGGUGCGAAAGCGUGGGGAGCAAACAGG
rnacentral:rRNA from 1 species